GCCCGGCUAGCUCAAUCGGUAGAGCGUAAGACUCUUAGUAUUGUGCAACAGCACCAAUACCAGGCAAUCUUAAGGCUGCGGGUUCAAGCCCCGCGUUGGGCU